rnacentral:lncRNA from 1 species
CUCCUUUCUUCCUCCAGCAGCGCAAUGUGAUCCACCGGCAAGGAGGGAUGCCAAUAAGGUGUCCGAUAAGAUAAGUCUUAUAAAAUAUAUAGAUUUAUGAUAAUUAAAACUGAGCUAGCAGAUGAGAAUCCUAGUCAUUGGCCAAGCAGCAUUUGAACCUAAUACAAGUCCCUCUGUGUAUUAAUUUGGGCCCUAACUCUGGUGGGCGGCUGGUGUAAAGCGCACACGUGCUGGUGGGGCUCAGCGGCUUUUGGUGGAAAGAUUUAUCGUAAUAUAAGGCCAGUGGAGAGAGGAGUACAGUCUAGGCAGUCUGAGGAGCAGUGCAGUCUGGAUAUGCAAUCAGAGGACAUGAUCGCCCCUUCGGUCUGAGCAUCCAUUGAGAGCCUUCAUCCAGCAGCUGGAAGUAGAAGCAGACACCCACAGCUAAACACUGAACUGAACUGGAAUCCAGUUGCAGAGAAGGAGGAGUGACGAGCAAAGGGGUCCAGACCAGGCUGGUGAAACCCACAGAAACAGCUGACCUGAACAAGAGGGAGCUCUUGGUCCCCAGACUGAUAGCUGGGAAACCAGCAUGGGACUGAUCCAGACUCCAUGAAUUUUUACAUAUGGCCUCUAACCCAUCUGGAAAUCAUUUUGCACCAGGGAGGCUGAAACAGGAGGAUUAUGAAAUAAAAGCCAACUCUGGACCAGCAAGAUGGCUCAGUGGGUCAGUGUUUGUUGCCAAUACUAAAAACCUGAGUUCUCUAAGGCAGCUGGGGCUACACGAAGGCAUUUAUUCCUCACAGUUGUGGAGACUGGAAGCUCAGAAGCAAGUGCCAAAUGGCUCUGCCUCAGAGCAUGGAUGACUCGGAGGCAAUUUGUAUCACCAUGAGCUCACACCAAUAUGAGUGACAGUUCAUAAAAGCUUUGAGCCCUGGAGCUCUUUACUCAACUUGCAGGAAGCUCUUCAGGUUGGAGAGCCUUCUCUCCUCAGCAGCUGGCCUGGCUCAUUUCCUUCAAACCUGCAGAUUUCUUAGACAUGCACAUCAUCUGACUGGACUGUUGCAUGCCAAGCAGCCCAGACACCUGCUCAAGCUCAGUCAGCAUGUCUUCCAAAGCCCCAAGGCUUCCUUCAGCUGCCUGCUCCCUUCAAACGUGGCAGAGUUUCUCUUUGAAGCCGACUUUCUCACACUCUACCCUGCCACCAAGGUUACCCUCUCAUGUUCAGGAGACAAUUCACUGCCAUUGGCUGAGCUCUGUAAUAAUGGAACACUGUAGCACCUCUUUCUUCUUCCUCUACAAACGUCUAGAAGGUCAGUUCUGCUCUCAGUCUAGAUCUCAGAGGUAUCCCCCUACACACACAGACACACAUGCACACAUACACACACACACACACACACACACACACACACACACACACACACAGUCACACAUGCACACACAUACACACAUGCACACACACAUAGACACACAUGCACACACAAUACACACACAUGCACACACAUAUACACACAUACAUACGGACAUACACACAUACACACACGGUCACACAUGCACACACAUACACACAUGUACACACAUAUAUACACAUAUGCACACACAGACACACACACAAACACACACACUUGCACACACACAUAUACAUAUGUACAUGCACACAUAAACACACACCCACACCCACACACUUUUGCAUUCCCAAGGGGCUCUGACUCUGUGGAUAUCUAUUUUCUUGGUGUCUCUAGGACCUAUCACUGGUGGGGCCCUUCCCCCUUAUUCCUGCUCUCUUCCUAUUCAAUUGGUCCAGUCUUUGGGGCUCACUACAUUCUGGAGUUUCUGUAUCUCAUAAGCUCAUGGAUUACUGAAUGUAUCAGUUGAUUCUUAAGUGUUCACUUGUUACUUUGUAUGGUUUUCAGAAAGGAAGACAUUUGGACCUCAGCUGUGG